CCUCCCCUGGGGAGAUGGAGUGUUACCUGAAUGGGGAAAGGGGCCUGCAUGACCUAUCUAUCUUCUUUCUCUUGUUCUUUCUUUGGGUUGCAGUCUUCUUGUAGAGACUAUACAUUUUGAUCUGCUCCUCCAGGGGUAGGUCUCCCCUGUGGGGUGACGAUGGGGAAGCCUUGGGUGGUCCAGUGCUCCAGAGUACGUAAGGCUGCCUAACAGGUUCAGUGCCAGGAGGCCUCUUGCUUCACUUAAACCCCAUAUCCAUAUCAGCUUAAUAGAGAGGAUGCUUUUGAACCUUAACUGAUUUUCCUUUGUCUUAUUUCUCAGUUGAUCUUCAACUCAGAUGGAGGUGUUAUGUGUAUCCUUAUCACACCCUCCCCCAAGAACUAUUGAGGGAACUAAAGAAUUCUAGCAGGACAGGGAAGAAUACCAUUUUCCCCAGAAUUUCUGGUACAUGGAUGAUGAUCAAUAAAUACUUAAAAUUGUGCUGAAGACAACAUGUCUCUUUAAGAACAUAUACCUUCCAGGACUCCUUUGAAGCUAGAGUGGCUACAACCUCAGUCUGGACAAAGAUAUAGAUUAUGGUGAAAGAACAGUU
rnacentral:lncRNA from 12 species